GGUAGUCCACGCCGUAAACGAUGUCGACUUGGAGGCUGUUCCCCUGAGGAGUGGCUUCCGGAGCUAACGCGUUAAGUCGACCGCCUGGGGAGUACGGCCGCAAGGUUAAAACUCAAAUGAAUUGACGGGGGCCCGCACAAGCGGUGGAGCAUGUGGUUCAAUUCGAUGCAACGCGAAGAACCUUACCUGGCCUUGACAUCCAGAGAACUUAGCGGAGAUGCUUUGGUGCCUUCGGGAACUCUGAGACAGGUGCUGCAUGGCUGUCGUCAGCUCGUGUUGUGAAAUGUUGGGUUAAGUCCCGCAACGAGCGCAACCCUUAUCCUUUGUUGCCAGCGGGUCGUGCCGGGAACUCAAAGGAGACUGCCGGUGAUAAACCGGAGGAAGGUGGGGAUGACGUCAAGUCAUCAUGGCCCUUACGGCCAGGGCUACACACGUGCUACAAUGGCGCAUACAAAGAGAAGCGACCUCGCGAGAGCAAGCGGACCUCAUAAAGUGCGUCGUAGUCCGGAUCGGAGUCUGCAACUCGACUCCGUGAAGUCGGAAUCGCUAGUAAUCGUAGAUCAGAAAGCUACGGUGAAUACGUUCCCGGGCCUUGUACACACCGCCCGUCACACCAUGGGAGUGGGUUGCAAAAGAAGUAGGUAGCUUAACCUUCGGGAGGGCGCUUACCACUUUGUGAUUCAUGACUGGGGUGAAGUCGUAACAAGGUAACCGUAGGGGAACCUGC
rnacentral:rRNA from 1 species